rnacentral:rRNA from 1 species
UGGGGAAUAUUGGACAAUGGGCGAAAGCCUGAUCCAGCCAUGCCGCGUGUGUGAAGAAGGUCUUCGGAUUGUAAAGCACUUUAAGAUGGGAGGAAGGGCAGUAAGCGAAUACCCUGCUGCUUUGACGUUACCGACAGAAUAAGCACCGGCUAACUCUGUGCCAGCAGCCGCGGUAAUACAGAGGGUGCAAGCGUUAAUCGGAAUUACUGGGCGUAAAGCGCGCGUAGGUGGUUCGUUAAGUUGAAUGUGAAAGCCCCGGGCUCAACCUGGGAGCUGCAUCCAAGACUGGCGAGCUAGAGUAGGGCAGAGGGUGAUGGAAUUUCCUGUGUAGCGGUGACAUGCGUAGAUAUAGGAAGGAACACCAGUGGCGAAGGCGACCACCUGGGCUCAUACUGACACUGAGGUGCGACAGCGUGGGGAGCAAACAGG